GCUCGUGGCCCAGAGCGCGGUGGCCCCACCCGGUCCCAUCCCGAACCCGGUCGUGACCCACCGCAGCGCCGGAGAGUACUGUGGGGUUGCCCCACGGGAGGCGAGGCCGCCGCGGACG
rnacentral:rRNA from 1 species